rnacentral:lncRNA from 1 species
GUUUGGAACCCAAUUUUUUUCCUGUCAGGAACCUGCGAAGUUUUACUGACGUUAGAAAAUCUUUGUCACUGCUUGAUGACCAAAAUAGCAAGUUCAGAGUAAGAAAACAAAUGUGUGUUCUCCAUGCAAGUCACGGAAUUCAAGGAGGUUCUUCAGUCUUCACCUAUUAUUUAUUUGAAACUGCUUAAAAUUUUCAUCUCGGUGCAUUUAGAGUGGUUUUUUAGCUUCUGUAUUUGUGACAACACCUUAUGUAGCGUCCCCUGGAGGGGAUUGUGAGAUACAGUAGAUAUAUAAGUCAAACACCUGUCCUAAUUCAGAUUUAAGCAGUGCUACUCUCCUUUUGGGGGCCGGCAGAGAUGCUACUCAAGCUAAGAGCUUUCGGUUGUGUAGAGUCAAUUAUAAGAUUUUGAUAGUGUGUCGGUUCCUUGCUUUUUUUGUUGUCUCUUAUUGUUGCUUUGUGUCCAUUUUACGAGAUUUGUGAUCAGCUAUGUUAUGAUUUUUCACAUACCUCAAGAGUAGGAAUUUUGUUUUGUUUUUUCCAUGUGCAUUAGAACAUUUCAUCAAUUCCCCAUCCGUUGGCAACAAUGACUGAAGUUGCUAGAUUUAGCUUCAAUUUUCAUAUCAAAGUUUCACUAUCAUCUCCACAGGUUUUAGAUGGAAGUAUAUGAAGUUCA